UACUACGUCGGCAUUCUGAUGAGCCAAUCUUGUUGUUAUCAGGAUGAACUCUAUCAAAGUUGUAGCGUUGUUCGCGGUAAUUUUGUCGUUUUUACUGACUGAGGUGACCAGUAGUGACAAGACUGAACUAGGAGCGGAUUGGAGCGUUUUUCAUUCAUACCAUGUUCAUGGAGACGAAGACUCUAUUAUCGAAAGAAAAGCACUGAAGAAGGAGCAGAAAAUACACCUUGGCAGAAAAGGUGGGAAAUGUCGUAACAGGAAAUGCUGGAAGGCGUGCUAUUAUGUGCUGAAGAGGGGAGGACGAUGUUCCUCCGACAGAAAACUGUGUGCCUGUUUCGAAGAGUGAAACAAAAGCACGCUAUGGCUGCAGCAAUGAGAGCGACGACUGAAAGCUUUCGAAUCUUUUCUCCAUUUUCUGUUUGACAAAUUUAAAAAUAAAAAAAUAAACUGCAGCCGAAAAGUACCAAAAAGUA